AUAAUGAUACUUCCGCUUAGCCACAAUUAUCAAAAUGGGAGCGGCCUGGCGAGAACCGCGGGGAGGAUAGAGCCUAU
rnacentral:ncRNA from 1 species